rnacentral:misc_RNA from 1 species
GGGCCCGCCUCCACUGCCCUCCAGCCUUGGAUGAAACCAUCAGUUCCACCAGCAACCAAAAGCUUUGUAUCUGCUGCAACAGCUCGAAUAGUGCAACCAAGGGGCCUUGAAGAUGCAAUGGAUAACCCAUUUUCCAUGUCCCACAUUCGAACAAUAGAGUCAUACCCAGAAGUAAAAAUGAGCUUAGCAGAAGCCAAAAGGAAAACUGUUCUAACUGCUUCUGAAUGACCAUACAAAAUAUCGAUGCUGUAACGACCCAAGAAAGUCCUACUCCUAAACUCUCUCUCCACAAACAAUUCCUUCCAUGAUUUCUCAUCUGAAAGCCCCACUCCCAGUGGUGCAGGCACCGAUGGGAGUCCCCAUCUCUCACAGUAGACUUCCUUCCAAACGUGGUUCUCAGAUGCAAGCCUAUUGAGAAUGGUUGAUGCACAGGAAACUAUACCGAGCUC